rnacentral:tRNA from 1 species
GCCAGAGUGGCAUAGUGGUUUGAGUGCUGGACUAUGACUCUGGAGACCAAGGUUCGAUUCCCUGCUCGGCCA